rnacentral:rRNA from 1 species
UACAGAGGUCUCAAGCGUUGUUCGGAUUCAUUGGGCGUAAAGGGUGCGUAGGCGGCGCGGUAAGUCGUGUGUGAAAUCUCGGGGCUUAACUCCGAAACUGCAUUCGAUACUGCCGUGCUUGAGGACUGGAGAGGAGACUGGAAUUUACGGUGUAGCGGUGAAAUGCGUAGAUAUCAGGAGGAACACCGGUGGCGAAGGCGGGUCUCUGGGCCGAUACUGACGCUGAGGAGCGAAAGCGUGGGGAGCGAACAGG